rnacentral:rRNA from 1 species
AAUCGUACCCCAAACCGACACAGGUGGUCAGGUAGAGAAUACCAAGGCGCUUGAGAGAACUCGGGUGAAGGAACUAGGCAAAAUGGUGCCGUAACUUCGGGAGAAGGCACGCUGAUAUGUAGGUGAAGCGACUUGCUCGUGGAGCUGAAAUCAGUCGAAGAUACCAGCUGGCUGCAACUGUUUAUUAAAAACACAGCACUGUGCAAACACGAAAGUGGACGUAUACGGUGUGACGCCUGCCCGGUGCCGGAAGGUUAAUUGAUGGGGUUAGCGGUAACGCGAAGCUCUUGAUCGAAGCCCCGGUAAACGGCGGCCGUAACUAUAACGGUCCUAAGGUAGCGAAAUUCCUUGUCGGGUAAGUUCCGACCUGCACGAAUGGCGUAAUGAUGGCCAGGCUGUCUCCACCCGAGACUCAGUGAAAUUGAACUCGCUGUGAAGAUGCAGUGUACCCGCGGCAAGACGGAAAGACCCCGUGAACCUUUACUAUAGCUUGACACUGAACAUUGAGCCUUGAUGUGUAGGAUAGGUGGGAGGCUUUGAAGUGUGGACGCCAGUCUGCAUGGAGCCGACCUUGAAAUACCACCCUUUAAUGUUUGAUGUUCUAACGUAGGCCCCUUAUCGGGGUUGCGGACAGUGUCUGGUGGGUAGUUUGACUGGGGCGGUCUCCUCCUAAAGAGUAACGGAGGAGCACGAAGGUUGGCUAAUCCUGGUCGGACAUCAGGAGGUUAGUGCAAUGGCAUAAGCCAGCUUGACUGCGAGCGUGACGGCGCGAGCAGGUGCGAAAGCAGGUCAUAGUGAUCCGGUGGUUCUGAAUGGAAGGGCCAUCGCUCAACGGAUAAAAGGUACUCCGGGGAUAACAGGCUGAUACCGCCCAAGAGUUCAUAUCGACGGCGGUGUUUGGCACCUCGAUGUCGGCUCAUCACAUCCUGGGGCUGAAGUAGGUCCCAAGGGUAUGGCUGUUCGCCAUUUAAAGUGGUACGCGAGCUGGGUUUAGAACGUCGUGAGACAGUUCGGUCCCUAUCUGCCGUGGGCGCUGGAGAACUGAGGGGGGCUGCUCCUAGUACGAGAGGACCGGAGUGGACGCAUCACUGGUGUUCGGGUUGUCAUGCCAAUGGCACUGCCCGGUAGCUAAAUGCGGAAGAGAUAAGUGCUGAAAGCAUCUAAGCACGAAACUUGCCCCGAGAUGAGUUCUCCCUGACCCUUUAAGGGUCCUGAAGGAACGUUGAAGACGACGACGUUGAUAGGCCGGGUGUGUAAGCGCAGCGAUGCGUUGAGCUAACCGGUACUAAUGAACCGUGAGGCUUAACCUUACAACGCCGAAG